rnacentral:lncRNA from 1 species
CUGACUUCACAUAUGGGUGGUCACUGAGAAGAGGACAACUGGCUACAAAUAUCAACAGGCUUUAACAGUCUUCUUUCCUUCAAGUCCAGUUCUUUGAAAGUCCAAAUUUGCUCUGAACUGACUUCAAGCAAGUGCCCACUCUUGAACAAAUUACUGAGGCUGGAGGAUAAAGACACAAAUUGGCCAAACUUGGAUUACCUGCCUUCUGCAUCUUAAAGGAGUCAGUCCCAACUACAAAUUUAAGAGGAUCACAGAAACACCCACAAACUUACGAGGAUCACAGAAAACACCCCUACACCAACUUAUAGCCAAUCUAUUCAACCUGCAUUGUUAGCAGGUCACCUCUCCUGGAUCUCUGCCUGUAGUGCCCAAUUAAGAAUGGAAGGCUUAUGGACAAAGUGGCCAUGGUGGCAAGAACAGAGGUUAU